rnacentral:sRNA from 1 species
UAGCCGGAUUGUACGUGGCAAAAAAGGCCUC